GAUGAACGCUGGCGGCGUGCCUAAUACAUGCAAGUCGAGCGAACGGACGAGAAGCUUGCUUCUCUGAUGUUAGCGGCGGACGGGUGAGUAACACGUGGAUAACCUACCUAUAAGACUGGGAUAACUUCGGGAAACCGGAGCUAAUACCGGAUAAUAUUUUGAACCGCAUGGUUCAAAAGUGAAAGACGGUCUUGCUGUCACUUAUAGAUGGAUCCGCGCUGCAUUAGCUAGUUGGUAAGGUAACGGCUUACCAAGGCAACGAUGCAUAGCCGACCUGAGAGGGUGAUCGGCCACACUGGAACUGAGACACGGUCCAGACUCCUACGGGAGGCAGCAGUAGGGAAUCUUCCGCAAUGGGCGAAAGCCUGACGGAGCAACGCCGCGUGAGUGAUGAAGGUCUUCGGAUCGUAAAACUCUGUUAUUAGGGAAGAACAUAUGUGUAAGUAACUGUGCACAUCUUGACGGUACCUAAUCAGAAAGCCACGGCUAACUACGUGCCAGCAGCCGCGGUAAUACGUAGGUGGCAAGCGUUAUCCGGAAUUAUUGGGCGUAGAGCGCGCGUAGGCGGUUUUUUAAGUCUGAUGUGAAAGCCCACGGCUCAACCGUGGAGGGUCAUUGGAAACUGGAAAACUUGAGUGCAGAAGAGGAAAGUGGAAUUCCAUGUGUAGCGGUGAAAUGCGCAGAGAUAUGGAGGAACACCAGUGGCGAAGGCGACUUUCUGGUCUGUAACUGACGCUGAUGUGCGAAAGCGUGGGGAUCAAACAGGAUUAGAUACCCUGGUAGUCCACGCCGUAAACGAUGAGUGCUAAGUGUUAGGGGGUUUCCGCCCCUUAGUGCUGCAGCUAACGCAUUAAGCACUCCGCCUGGGGAGUACGACCGCAAGGUUGAAACUCAAAGGAAUUGACGGGGACCCGCACAAGCGGUGGAGCAUGUGGUUUAAUUCGAAGCAACGCGAAGAACCUUACCAAAUCUUGACAUCCUUUGACAACUCUAGAGAUAGAGCCUUCCCCUUCGGGGGACAAAGUGACAGGUGGUGCAUGGUUGUCGUCGGCUCGUGUCGUGAGAUGUUGGGUUAAGUCCCGCAACGAGCGCAACCCUUAAGCUUAGUUGCCAUCAUUAAGCUGGGCACUCUAAGUUGACUGCCGGUGACAAACCGGAGGAAGGUGGGGAUGACGUCAAAUCAUCAUGCCCCUUAUGAUUUGGGCUACACACGUGCUACAAUGGACAAUACAAAGGGCAGCGAAACCGCGAGGUCAAGCAAAUCCCAUAAAGUUGUUCUCAGUUCGGAUUGUAGUCUGCAACUCGACUACAUGAAGCUGGAAUCGCUAGUAAUCGUAGAUCAGCAUGCUACGGUGAAUACGUUCCCGGGUCU
rnacentral:rRNA from 1 species